AAAACCCAUUACAAUUUUUGGAUAUGCAAAAAUGGGAGUUGAGAGAAUUGCAGUAUUAGGGGUGGUGGUAGUGGUGACGAUGGUGAUGGGUAGCGCGUGGGUUAUAGCCCAGGAGGCGGCGGUGGCGGGUCGGGAGGCGCCAUGGAGGAUCCACACGCUUUUCUCUGUGGAGUGCCAGAAUUACUUUGAUUGGCAGACGGUUGGCCUCAUGCAUAGCUACCGGAAGGCCCGACAGCCUGGACCCAUAACCCGAUUACUCAGCUGUACCGAAGAGGAGAAGAAGAGUUACAGAGGGAUGGAGUUGGCACCUACCUUUGAGGUCCCCUCAAUGAGCACACACCCCAAAACUGGUGAUUGGUAUCCGGCAAUUAAUAAACCUGCAGGCGUUUUCCACUGGCUUAAACAUAGCAAAGAAGCACAAAAUGUCGACUGGGUAGUAAUUCUAGAUGCAGACAUGAUCAUUCGGGGUCCAAUUAUACCAUGGGAGCUUGGCGCCGAGAAAGGCAGGCCUGUUGCUGCAUACUACGGAUACUUGAUCGGAUGUGACAAUGAUCUUGCUAAGUUGCACACUAAGCACCCUGAACUCUGUGACAAGGUUGGUGGGCUUUUAGCCAUGCAUAUAGACGAUCUCCGAGCUUUAGCACCUAUGUGGCUGUCAAAAACAGAAGAAGUACGAGAGGACAGAGCUCAUUGGGGAACCAAUUAUACUGGUGAUAUAUAUGGGACAGGGUGGAUCAGUGAAAUGUAUGGAUACUCAUUUGGUGCUGCUGAGGUGGGACUUCGCCACAAAAUAAAUGAUAACUUGAUGAUUUACCCCGGAUAUAUUCCAAGAGAUGGCAUUGAGCCCAUUCUUAUGCACUAUGGCUUGCCUUUUAGUGUUGGAAAUUGGUCAUUCAGUAAAUUAGAACACCAUGAGGACAAUAUUGUCUAUGACUGUGGGCGGCUCUUUCCUGAACCUCCUUACCCUAGAGAGGUACAAGGAAUGGAAACAGAUCCAAACAAAAGGAGAGCACUAUUUCUAAAUCUAGAAUGUAUCAAUACCCUGAAUGAAGGUCUUCUAUUGCAACAUGCUGCAUAUGGGUGUCCCAAGCCGAAGUGGUCAAAAUACUUGAGUUUUUUGAAGAGUAAAACGUUUGCUGAACUAUCUCAGCCAAGAUCAGUGACACCUAAAAGUCUUCAAAUGAUGGAGGUUGAGCAUACGCAAACACAAGAACAAGCUAAUGAUCCUGGAACGCCAUAUCCAAAAAUCCAUACCAUUUUCUCAACAGAAUGCUCCCCUUACUUUGAUUGGCAGACUGUGGGGCUGGUUCACAGUUUUCACCUGAGUGGCCAACCUGGAAAUAUCACGAGACUUCUUAGUUGUACGGAAGAAGAUCUGAAGCAGUAUAAAGGCCAUGAUUUAGCUCCCACACAUUAUGUUCCAUCCAUGAGUCGACAUCCUCUAACUGGUGAUUGGUAUCCAGCAAUUAAUAAGCCAGCUGCUGUUCUUCAUUGGCUCAAUCAUGCAAAAAUAGAUGCGGAGUAUAUAGUAAUCCUUGAUGCUGACAUGAUAAUUAGAGGUCCGAUCACACCAUGGGAAUUCAAUGCAGCCCGUGGGAGACCUGUUUCCACUCCCUAUGACUACUUGAUUGGCUGUGACAAUGACCUUGCAAAGAUGCACACCCGUCAUCCAGAUGCUUGCAACAAGGUUGGAGGUGUGAUCAUAAUGCAUAUAAAUGACCUCAGGAGAUUUGCUCUACUGUGGUUGCAUAAAACCGAGGAGGUCCGGGCUGACACGGCUCAUUGGUCAAGAAACAUAACCGGGGACGUGUAUGAAUCUGGAUGGAUCAGCGAGAUGUAUGGUUACUCGUUUGGCGCAGCAGAGCUGAAUUUGCAUCACAUCAUUAGCAACGAAAUUUUGAUAUAUCCGGGAUAUGUUCCUGCACCUGGUGUGAAGUAUAGAGUAUUCCACUAUGGCUUGGAAUUUAGCGUUGGAAACUGGAGCUUUGAUAAAGCAAAAUGGAGAAGCGCUGAUUUGGUUAACAAAUGUUGGGCUAAGUUUCCUGAACCUCCUGAUCCAUCAACCCUCGAUCGAACCGAUGAGAAUGCAUUACAGCGUGAUUUGCUAAGCAUAGAAUGUGGAAAUGCACUGAAUGAAGCUCUACGCCUACAUCACGAGAAGAAGAAAUGCCCUGAUCCCACUUCCAUCUCCUCUCCAGUUCGAGAGAGUCCUGAUUCCAUAUUGUUGUCUCCUCCAAAUCAAGAAACAGCCAGUGAGGUUACGACUUCAAGGAAAUUUGGAAAGAUUGAGGAAAUUAGUACCUUAAUUCGCAGUCCUGAUCUAAAGAACAAAUCUCGGGAAUUAUCGCAGCCGGCUAUGGCAAAGGAAACAUUCACUUCCAUGAGAUUCUGGAUAAUUGGCCUUUGGGCAUUUUCGAUCUUUGUAUUUAUCACAGUAAUGUCUGUGAUGCUUUCCAGUCGCAAGGGGCAGAAGAAAAAAGGUAGAAGUUUUAAGACCAAGAGACGAGCCUCGCAUUCAGGAAUCUGGGAGCCGAUUGGAAAUGAUAGGCAUCUCCGAAGUGCUGAAAUAGCAUAAAAUGAAUGAGAAAAUGCACCUGAAAUUCCGUGCUGGUAUAUAUAAAUUGCCCAAAUGAUGAAAAACGUCUUAUCCAGGUAGUCAGUGUAGCAUACUCAACCCGAAGUGGGUCGAGAUCUGCUUUCUUAAGGUGUGUGAGGAGAUUUUUGAUUUGUUGAAUCUUGUAGCUGGGUCCUCCGAAUACUGAACAGUUUCUGGGCGGAGCAUAAUUUGGAAUUCAAAAUUACAGAAUGAGAAGUCCAUCAAGCCCAAUGGAUCCACAGCACUAGCAUCAAUAACAGAUCUGUUAUGUGGCCCAUUCUCAUCAGCAGCUGCCCAUUUAAGUCCAGAUAUGCAGAAGGCCAUUUCUGAUACGCAAGACUAGCUAUCUAUGACAAUUAUAACAGAUUAGUGUGAUGUCUAAUUCUUUCUUUGGCUAAAUGUAUAGAAUUGGUUAGGCUAAAAUAUUCUUUUGUUCCUUCCAUAUGUACAGAGCUUUAGAUGCUCUUCUUAUGUAAUUAUUCAUUUUUUUUUCUGU